GAUGAACGCUAGCGGCAGGCCUAACACAUGCAAGUCGAGGGGAAGGCCCUUUCGGGGGCGGAACCCGCGCCCGGGUGCGGUACCGGUUUUCAACCUUCCUUUCACCAGGGGGUAGGCCGGAGGAAUUUUGGUUUAUUACCCCAUAUUAUUAUUGAUUGCCAUCAUUUGUUAUUAAAAACUGGGGUGGUAAAAGUGGGCAUGCGUCCUAUUAGCUAGUUGGAGUGGUAACGGCACCCCAAGGCUACGAUAGGUAGGGGUCCUGAGAGGGAGAUCCCCCACACUGGUACUGAGACAGGGACCAGACUCCUACGGGAGGCAGCAGUGAGGAAUAUUGGUCAAUGGUCGGAAGACUGAACCAGCCAUGCCGCGUGCAGGAAGAAUGCCUUAUGGGUUGUAAACUGCUUUUAUAUGGGAAGAAUAAGGCGUACGUGUACGUUGAUGACGGUACCAUAUGAAUAAGCAUCGGCUAACUCCGUG
rnacentral:rRNA from 1 species